UACGAAGGGGGCUAGCGUUGCUCGGAAUCACUGGGCGUAAAGGGUGCGUAGGCGGGUCUUUAAGUCAGGGGUGAAAUCCUGGAGCUCAACUCCAGAACUGCCUUUGAUACUGAGGAUCUUGAGUUCGGGAGAGGUGAGUGGAACUGCGAGUGUAGAGGUGAAAUUCGUAGAUAUUCGCAAGAACACCAGUGGCGAAGGCGGCUCACUGGCCCGAUACUGACGCUGAGGCACGAAAGCGUUGGGAGCAAACAGG
rnacentral:rRNA from 1 species